GUGCUCACCUCAGCAGCACAAAUACUAAAAUUGGAACGAUACAGAGAAGAUUAGCAUGCACCUUGAGCAAGGAUGACACGCAAAUUCAUGAAGCGUUUCAUAUUUUU
ensembl:snRNA U6 U6 spliceosomal RNA